rnacentral:rRNA from 1 species
ACUCCUACGGGAGGCAGCAGUGGGGAAUAUUGGACAAUGGGGGAACCCUGAUCCAGCCAUGCCGCGUGUGUGAAGAAGGCCUUAUGGUUGUAAAGCACUUUAAGCGAGGAGGAGGCUACUGAGACUAAUACUCUUGGAUGGUGGACGUUACUCGCAGAAUAAGCACCGGCUAACUCUGUGCCAGCAGCCGCGGUAAUACAGAGGGUGCGAGCGUUAAUCGGAUUUACUGGGCGUAAAGCGUGCGUAGGCGGCUUUUAAGUCGGAUGUGAAAUCCCCGAGCUUAACUUGGGAAUUGCAUUCGAUACUGGGAAGCUAGAGUAUGGGAGAGGAUGGUAGAAUUCCAGGUGUAGCGGUGAAAUGCGUAGAGAUCUGGAGGAAUACCGAUGGCGAAGGCAGCCAUCUGGCCUAAUACUGACGCUGAGGUACGAAAGCAUGGGAGCAAACAGGAUUAGAUACCCCUGGUAGGAUAGCG